rnacentral:tRNA from 1 species
GGAGAGGUGGCCGAGCGGCCUAAGGCGGCGGCUUGCUAAGCCGUUGUAGGGAGUAUAUCCCUACCGCGGGUUCGAAUCCCGCCCUCUCCG